rnacentral:rRNA from 1 species
UGAGACACGGACCAGACUCCUACGGGAGGCAGCAGUGAGGAAUAUUGGUCAAUGGACGAAAGUCUGAACCAGCCAUGCCGCGUGCAGGAUGACGGCCUUCUGGGUUGUAAACUGCUUUUGACAGGGAAGAAAACGGCUAUGCGUAGCUAACUGACGGUACCUGUAGAAUAAGCACCGGCUAACUCCGUGCCAGCAGCCGCGGUAAUACGGAGGGUGCAAGCGUUAAUCGGAAU